AUCUCUUCUCUGCCUUUUGGCUAAGAUCAAGUGUAGUAACCGAUAACCAUAUCCUGAUUUGAGUACAUUAAUAUGGGCUUUGGGAUUCAAAGUUAUUUUCUGUUGUGCUGUCAUAUCUUUGUGGUGACUUACACCCAGUAAAUUAAACCUCUCCUCUACUU
ensembl:snRNA U2 U2 spliceosomal RNA